rnacentral:rRNA from 1 species
CCCUUAGAUGUUCUGGGCCGCACGCGCGCUACAAUGGUCUUCGCAAACGGAUGCAUUCUCGAAGGAGAAUGCCAAUCUUGGAAUCUAUGCCUUGGUCGGGACAGUUGCUUGCAAUUUUUCGACUCGAACCAGGAAUUCCUUGUAAUCGUGAUUCAUCACAUCACGAUGAAUACGUCCCUGCCCUUUGUACACACCGCCCGUCGCUCCUACCGAUCGAAGAGUUAGGUGAAUUGUUUUGAUCGAUAAGAUUUGACUAUGGUCAACUCUCGUUGUGAAAUUCUGUGAAUCUGACUGUUUAGAGGAAGGGAAAGUCGUAACA